UGGGGAAUAUUGGGCAAUGGGCGCAAGCCUGACCCAGCAACGCCGCGUGAAGGAAGAAGGCUUUCGGGUUGUAAACUUCUUUUAUCAGGGACGAAACAAAUGACGGUACCUGAUGAAUAAGCCACGGCUAACUACGUGCCAGCAGCCGCGGUAAUACGUAGGUGGCAAGCGUUAUCCGGAUUUACUGGGUGUAAAGGGCGUGUAGGCGGGACUGCAAGUCAGAUGUGAAAAUUAUGGGCUCAACCCAUAACCUGCAUUUGAAACUGUAGUUCUUGAGUGAUGGAGAGGCAGGCGGAAUUCCGUGUGUAGCGGUGAAAUGCGUAGAUAUACGGAGGAACAUCAGUGGCGAAGGCGGCCUGCUGGACAUUAACUGACGCUGAGGCGCGAAAGCGUGGGGAGCAAACAGGAUUAGAUACC
rnacentral:rRNA from 1 species